rnacentral:rRNA from 1 species
UACGAAGGGGGCGAGCGUUGUUCGGAUUUACUGGGCGUAAAGGGCGCGUAGGCGGCCCACCAAGUCAGGCGUGAAAGCCCCGGGCUCAACCUGGGAGGUGCGCUUGGGACUGAUGGGCUGGAGUUCGGGAGAGGAGCGUGGAAUUCCCAGUGUAGAGGUGAAAAUUCGUAGAUAUUGGGAAGAACACCGGUGGCGAAGGCGGCGCUCUGGACCGAGACUGACGC